CAGGUGACUUCGCUAACAAAUAUCGCGGAUGAAGUAAACGUGCAGGAUCUUUGCUAAAUGUCCCCUAAGCUGCAAUUCAAGAUAUGACAACAUUAUUUGUUUAUUGAAGGAAAACUGAUUGGUGAAUAAAACGUUUGCAGUGUGUAAAAUCGCACUUAACCAGCCUGCGGACAUUGCACAUGUAUAAGGACAGAAUUGACAUAGAGUUAUCAUGUCCGCCUGUGAAAUAACGUUAGGCUACGUCAUUAGAGCUAGCUGGUUAGCUAGCGCAGCUAACGGUACUAGUUUGCAAACCUGUUUGAUCUUGCUUUUCGAGAAAACAUUACGGACUAAAUCCUUCCUUUCGUCUAUUGGAAACAGUAGAAGAUGCUGAGUUGUGAAACACUGAAAUAAACAUCUUGAGCCACCAGUUCUGCAGUAACAAGUCAAUCAGCAAAAGACAGGAAGAGGUGAAAACCGGACGGCUGUGUACAUGGACCAGCUGUUGGACAGAGAGGAGCACCAGAGUUUGAUGGGCCAUCCAAGACGCCGGUUGACAUUUUGUCCCCAGUCCGACCGGAUGUCACAUAAAAAAUUCACUCAGGCGAGAAGCUGGCAGGAAUACCCAGCUCCCCCCUCUCACAGUGUCUGCCUCUCGGUGGGGAGUGCAAGGGCAAUGAGAGAAGAUAGAUGUAACUGUGGAGGACAAAUGGGGAAGAACCAUGAGAGGG